rnacentral:rRNA from 1 species
AGUAACGGCGAGUGAAGCGGCAACAGCUCAAAUUUGAAAUCUGGCUCCCUUGGGCGCCCGAGUUGUAAUUUGCAGAGGGUGCUUUGGCGUCGGCAGCGGCCUAAGUUCCUUGGAACAGGGCGUCACAGAGGGUGAGAACCCCGUACGUGGCCGCCGGCCUUCGCCGUGUAAAGCCCCUUCGACGAGUCGAGUUGUUUGGGAAUGCAGCUCUAAAUGGGAGGUAAAUUCCUUCUAAAGCUAAAUACUGGCCAGAGACCGAUAGCGCACAAGUAGAGUGAUCGAAAGAUGAAAAGCACUUUGGAAAGAGAGUCAAAAAGCACGUGAAAUUGUUGAAAGGGAAGCGCUUGCAGCCAGACUUGCCCGCGGUCGUUCUUCUUCCGCGGGCAGGCCAGCAUCAGUCUGGGCGGUCGGAUAAAGGCCUCGGGAACGUAGCUCUCUCCGGGGAGUGUUAUAGCCCGGGGCGUCAUGCGGCCAGCCCGGACUGAGGUCCGCGCAUCUGCUAGGAUGCUGGCGUAAUGGCUGUAAGCGGCCCGUCUUGAAACACGGACCAAGGAGUCUAACAUCUAUGCGAGUGUUUGGGUGUCAAGCCCGGGCGCGCAAUGAAAGUGAACGGAGGUGGGAACCCCUCGGGGCGCACCAUCGACCGAUCCUGAUGUCUUCGGAUGGAUUUGAGUAAGAGCAUAGCUGUUGGGACCCGAAAGAUGGUGAACUAUGCCUGAAUAGGGUGAAGCCAGAGGAAACUCUGGUGGAGGCUCGCAGCGGUUCUGACGUGCAAAUCGAUCGUCAAAUUUGGGCAUAGGGGCGAAAGACUAAUCGAACUAUCUAGUAGCUGGUUCCUGCAGAAGUUCCCC